rnacentral:rRNA from 1 species
AAGAUUAAGCCAUGCAUGUCUAAGUAUAAGCAAUUAUACCGCGAAACUGCGAAUGGCUCAUUAUAUAAGUUAUCGUUUAUUUGAUAAUACUUUACUACUUGGAUAACCGUGGUAAUUCUAGAGCUAAUACAUGCUAAAAAUCCCGACUUCGGAAGGGUUGUAUUUAUUAGAUUAAAAACCAAUGCCCCUCGGGGCUCUCUGGUGAAUCAUGAUAACUAGUCGAAUCGACA